rnacentral:rRNA from 1 species
UACGUAGGGGGCAAGCGUUGUCCGGAUUGACUGGGCGUAAAGCGCACGCAGGCGGAUGCGCGCGUGGGGUGUGAAAUCUGGCCGCUUAACGGCCAGGCGCCAUCCCAUACGGCGCGUCUGGAGUGAUGCAGAGGUCGAUGGAAUUGCCGGUGUAGUGGUGAAAUGCGUAGAUAUCUGGAGGAACACCGGUGGCGAAGGCGGCAUCCUGGACCAACACUGACACUGAGGAGCGAAAGCCAGGGGAGCAAACGGG